rnacentral:rRNA from 1 species
GGGGAAUAUUGCGCAAUGGGGGAAACCCUGACGCAGCGACGCCGCGUGAAGGAAGAAGGCCUUCGGGUUGUAAACUUCUUUGAUCGGGGACGAAGAUGACGGUACCCGAGGAACAAGCCACGGCUAACUACGUGCCAGCAGCCGCGGUAAUACGUAGGUGGCGAGCGUUGUCCGGAAUUACUGGGUGUAAAGGGCGUGUAGGCGGGGCGCCAAGUCAGGUGUGAAAUUCCGGGGCUUAACUCCGGGUAUGCACCUGAAACUGGUACUCUUGAGUGUCGGAGAGGAAAGUGGAAUUCCCAGUGUAGCGGUGAAAUGCGUAGAGAUUGGGAGGAACACCAGUGGCGAAGGCGGCUUUCUGGACGAUAACUGACGCUGAGGCGCGAAAGCGUGGGGAGCAAAC